GUCGGGCCAUAGGACCGUCAUCGCCCCGCCGUGGUCCACCGUGGCCACCUGUCAUCGGAUACGGUGGCCGUCACCUCCGGUGGCCAGAAAAGUACCUUUCUCCUUCCUUUUUUCCUUUUUUUAUUAAAAAGAGUUUUAACCCCUUUUGAACCCCGAUAUGAAGGCAAUGCCUUCUAUCCGCGAGAAAAAUUAAUAAAAAAAGGAACCUUCGGCUCAUUUCAUGCCGUUCGGGCCCUGCUCUGUUGAAGCCUAGGCCAAACCCUAAUGGAUUCCGGGAUUUGAUGCCGGAGAAGGCCUCUGACAACAAGGGGAGAUGAAGCGACUUAGGUAAAAAAACGAUUUUUAUCUUUUUAUUUAUUUUUUUCAAAAAUUAAAAAAAAAACAAAACAAAAAACAAGAGAAAUCACCUUUGUUUUUUUAUCUUUUAAUGCUUUUUGUUCUUUUUUUUUCGUUUGAUUGCUUGUUUCUCUAUGUGUAAAAAAAUAUAUUUAGAAUCAAGCUUUUAUAGCCAAUUAUACAUAUUUUCUUUUUCUUUUGUUUCUACCAUCUAUUGUUUGCUACUGUUCUUUUUGUCAUCCUUGUUUUUUUCUUUUGCAAGCAGCGGUGGAGGGUCAACGACGAGGAUGGAACCCCUGCCUUUGCCGUUUUGGUGCAAGGGCGACAGAGGCAUGUCAGGCCUCGGGACGAGGAGCCGUGAGUGGUGUGAUCGAGGAGAGGAGUGGCACAGAGGCUAGGUUUUUUUCAGUUUUUUGAAAAUAGUUUAGGCUAUUGGGCCACUGCGCCAUUAGGUUUUUUUUUUUAAUUUUGGGUCAUUUGUAAUUGGACUUAGAAUUUAUUAAUGGAUUCUGUUGUUUUUCAUUUUUAUUUUUUUUAUAUUUGGUUUCUAUUUGGGCC
rnacentral:lncRNA from 1 species